rnacentral:rRNA from 1 species
UACAGAGGGGGCAAGCGUUAUUCGGAAUUAUUGGGCGUAAAGGGCGCGUAGGCGGCCUUCUAAGUCGAACGUGAAAUCCCCGGGCUCAACCCGGGAACUGCGUCCGAUACUGGAAGGCUUGAAUCCGGGAGAGGGAUGUGGAAUUCCAGGUGUAGCGGUGAAAUGCGUAGAUAUCUGGAGGAACACCGGUGGCGAAGGCGACAUCCUGGACCGGUAUUGACGCUGAGGCGCGAAAGCCAGGGGAGCAAACGGG